rnacentral:tRNA from 1 species
GGAGGCGUCGCAUAGCGGUCUAGUGCACUGUCUUGGAAAGGCAGCAAGGUGAAAGCCUUCGCGAGUUCGAAUCUCGCCGCCUCCG